CCGACCGUUCCUCCGGUCGUAGCCUAGGAUGGCGUGCAGACUGGGCAACCGGUCUGUGCGAAGCCUGUCCGACAAUGUACCCCACCCUAAAAGGUGAAGCAGAACCCGUGAGGGGGAAGCGGAGCUGCGAGCGCCACGCGGCAGGGGGC
rnacentral:ncRNA from 1 species